rnacentral:rRNA from 1 species
UGGGGAAUUUUGGACAAUGGGCGAAAGCCUGAUCCAGCAAUGCCGCGUGUGUGAAGAAGGCCUUCGGGUUGUAAAGCACUUUUGUCCGGAAAGAAAUCCUUGGCUCUAAUACAGUCGGGGGAUGACGGUACCGGAAGAAUAAGCACCGGCUAACUACGUGCCAGCAGCCGCGGUAAUACGUAGGGUGCAAGCGUUAAUCGGAAUUACUGGGCGUAAAGCGUGCGCAGGCGGUUUGCUAAGACCGAUGUGAAAUCCCCGGGCUCAACCUGGGAACUGCAUUGGUGACUGGCAGGCUAGAGUAUGGCAGAGGGGGGUAGAAUUCCACGUGUAGCAGUGAAAGUGCGUAGAGAUGUGGAGGAAUACCGAUGGCGAAGGCAGCCCCCUGGGCCAAAUACUGACGCCCAUGCAC